rnacentral:lncRNA from 1 species
AAAAAAAAAAAGUAGCAUUGGGUGAGUGUGUUGGCGACACAUGGAAAACCGAGGUGCCUCGUGGCUGAAAAGAAAAUAUAACCAGAUUAGGAAUACUUGUGUGUAUAAGAAUGAGAAUAAGGGCCUUCCUCACAAACCCUAGAGCCAAAUCGUGAACCUCUCUGGACUGAACUCCCAACUGCCGAAUGCUUUGCGAUAUCGAAAUCCGAAUCAACGGCGCCAUUUGAGGCGAUAAAAAGAAGAAAGAAAAAAUGGUGAGUUUGUAUCCAACUUCGGAUUUUGAAAAUUUUUUUUUCCUGGUUUGUUUGGUUGCGGUGAAUUCGAUUUUGUUCGAUAGAUUGAUUGUUGAUUGAUUGAUGGAUGGAUGGAUGGAUUGAUUGGUGUAGACUGGGAGAGGUGCAAGAGAGAGGUUUCGAAGGGAUUACCCUCCGAGAUUUGAAGAGAAGAGCCACUCUGGGCGGAGCAGUCACCCCCCAUCGAGACACUUAUGGGUUGGAAACCUAUCGCACAGCAUUUCUGAGAACACUCUCACUGAUCCUUUUCUACAGUUCGGAGAGCUCGACACUGUCGCUUUUCAGCCGGGUCGUAGCUAUGCUUUCAUUAAUUUCAAGCAGGAAGAAGAUGCCAUUCAUGCCAUGAGAUCACUUCAAGGUUUUUCUGUGGCUGGCAUGCCUCUUAAAAUUGAGUUUGCAAAGGCGGUUAGUUUUGUCCCAUCCUUUCGUUUCAUGUGUACGUUUAUAUGUGUGUAUAUCAGUUGUUCAAUUCAUUAUUUAUAUAAAGGGCAUAGCAGCUUUCACUGGCAAACAUUGAGCCAACACAAUUGCAUAUUUUGCCUGAAACAUUUUGGCCCAAGUUUGAGUUAAAAAUAUAAAGAAAGGGAAAAGAAAAACAGGUCAUGGCAUAAAUUUGAACUCAUUCAGCAACAGGGGCACAUGGGAAUAUCCACAUGAUCUGUGUGUUUAAGUUCACAAUCUCAUCAAUAGUGCAAAUUUUUUAAUCUCGCAUGUUCUUUGGGUAUUUGGAUUGAGUUGGUCUUUUACAUUAUGAACAGAAGGGUUAUUCAGUAUCUUGCUUUGCACUCGGUUUCUCAAGUGCAUAUUUUGAAGAUCUACAUGUCUGAUCCAAUGAAGAGUAAUGCCUUGAAAAGCAUGCAAUUUGUGCUUUUUAAUGGUGAACUACUGAUUAUUAUUAUGAGUAGGACAAGUCUUGUCUAAAGAGUGUCGAUGAUACAAGCAAAAUGUAAUUCUUUUUCUGGUUAGGCCAACAAAAAUUCAUAUGGAAGGUGCCUAACAAAAAUGGUUCGCCCCUAUGUACAUAAGGGGUGUACGAGAAGCUCCAAAGAACAAACCCCUCCAAAAACACAGUAAACCUAGGACUUAUUAUACACAAUUUAGACUAUUUAUAAGGUCCUGGAAUGGACAAGUAGCCAACCACUCCUAAAGGGAUUUGAAAAAGUCUCCUUCAGCUUUUGAUCUGAUUUCUCUUCUUCAUUAACAAGUUCAGUCAUUAUGCACUCUUCAAAUGCACCAAAAUAAGCAAAGUGGAGUCAUUCGCCAAACCUUACUCCACUACUUAUGUAAGCCUCUCAUCUUUCGGCACAAUGAGGAAAAUAUAAUUGCUUUGAAGCUUUACUUAAAAUUUACCGGGACAAACUAAAAAAAACCAUGAAAUGGAUGUAUAACUGCAAUAUUUAGAGAGACAAAAAGGAAAAUUUAUCUCAAUGAAGUGGAACUGUGGAGUGUAACCCCUUUAAUUAUUUUGACCCAUGUUGCUCACAUUUUUUAUUUUUUGGUGGCACUUCUUGUCGUCUGGAAUGGGCACUUUGUGUAUGUUGGUAUUGCAUACAUAGGGGUUAACUAUUGCUUCUAGAAUGGCAGAAGAUAAGAUAGCUAGCAGCUGAUAGUGAAUUUUUAGGAGGUUUUUGAGUCCUCACCAACAGGUUAUUAGAUUGUCACGUGAAAUCUCAUUGGUGUUAUUUCCUGUAAAAGGGAUUGUUACUUAGAUAUUUUGACUUGGUCUAUCCAUGUAUGAUAAGAUAGAUAAUAGCAUGACCGUAAUGAAGAAGAUACAAGUAAAUUUGCAAUAUAGGAUCUGAUGGAUAAGUAGAUUAGCAUACUCCAGAAGAGGUCCAAGGAUGUUUGUUGUUUGCUGAAGAGGCUGAUCAGGUUACAGUUAAAAGUGAGAGCUCGAGAUUUGAAGCUUUAGAAUUGAAAGAUUUUAAGAUAAACAUAAAAAAGGACCAUGUAUAGAUUGUAGUGGCAUUAGAAGUGUAGACCAUGUGAGGGCUGGGAGAUAACUUUAUGAUGAUCAUUUCUCUGAUGUUGGGUUGAAACUAGUAGGGUUGACUGAAAAAGAUGUUAAAUUAAAAUGUGAUGAUUUUACUUGCUAAAUGCUCAUGCUGAGUUGUGUGAUUUAUCAUUGAUGAUGCCUAUCAACCUAGAGAACUUAUUUUUAUAAAGGGACACAUGUCUGUACGGCUCUCUUAUUCAAAGUAUAUCUCAUAUGAAACAUUUUUUUUUUUUGAUAAAUAAAGAGAUUGUAUUAAAAAGCCACCAAAGCAGUGGCUAAAAUUACAAGAGAGAAAAAAAAAUGCCCCUCGCACCCUAGCUGAAACCAAGGCCCGAGGAGCAUCCCAAACCACAUGAAACAUGAUUAGCUUUCUCAAAACAACUUGUAAAUUAUUUCACUUUAUUUUUUUGGAAAUAUAAAUGGUUGUCUUAUUUGUGAAACUUCAAGACUCAUCUGCAACAUGUGCAUAACAAAAGAAAUCAUAAGAUGCUCAAGGAAACCUUUCCCCUAUGAAAAUUGGUCAUAGAAGUGCUUUAAAUUGAUUCAUUCAGAAGCAACAAAAAGCAAUCAUAUUAUUGUAUUCAGAAUUACGUCGUCCCUCAUUUCUCUCCCCCUUUCUUUCUUCCCACAGUAUUCUCAUGUGAAAUUUUGCUCCAAUGAUGGGAAUACUAAUAUUUCUAUAUAGUAAAAGUAGAAAGCUAAUAAGAGGUGUCUUCUAUAUUUCAAAUUUCAUUUCUUAUGAUAUUGUUAUUGUUUUUAUCAUUAUUGUUAUUAUCAUUGCUUUUUAUAAAAGAAUAUUUUUAUUAUUCUGUAUAGUAUGCUAUUCUAUCUAUCUUGAAGAAACUCUUCUCUCUCUCUCUCUCUCUCUCUCUGCAUGUUACAGUAGUGUAAUUACAACUAAAACAAUAUUCUUGUCUUGAGUUCUGUUGAGUUGAUGAUCAUGAAAUGUGUAAAAAUAUGCAAAAAGAGAAUAUAACAAGAACAGCGAAAAAGAAUGCCCCUUCUUUGAUUGAAAUAACGAACUAAGAAUAAGAAGAAAAGGUGAAAGGGGAGAACAAAAGGAAGUACUUCUUGUUGAAGGGCCACAAGGUUCACAACGAAUUUUCAACAGUGGUAGAGUCCUUCCUGAUGAAAUUACCUGCCAUUGAUAUUUUGAACCUGAGAAUCCAAUUGAUAGUAUGGGCUACUACAAAAGCAUGAUGAACAACCCUACUAUAACUAUGAAGAGACCACAUUGGAAUUUGUUUAAUUAGAAAAGCAAGUAAUUCCAACAACACUAUCACCUUCCACCAUAACAUAAAUUAUUGCAUGGUUAGCACUUUGUGGAAACUGUUGAAGGCCAAGCAACUUACCAUGUAUAUUCUAAUAUGCCUUUGCUGAAGUUGAGAAGACAAACAGAAUAUUGCCAACAUGAUCUUUGCAAAUACAUCCCAAAUUUCUGAUAAAAAAUACCUUGAUUAUUCAUAUGACUUGGGUUUCCAAAUGAACAACACUUCACAUUCUAUUUCAAGUAGACAGAUUAGAGAGAGCCCCAGAGGAAAUAUGAUUCAAGUUUCUAGAAAGUUUAGAAGAUGUUACAUGUUUCCAGUCUGUUAAUGGUAUUGUGAUAUCUCGAAAUGAGGAAGACUUCAGCCUUCCCCGAAUGGCACACCAAGGGAAGAACAUACCUAAUAAGUUGCAUUUUUCCUAUCCUCCGAAAUAACCUACAAAUGGCUAAGCAGGCAUUAUAGCAUAACACCCUUGUGGCCCACCAAAAUUGGAAAAUAAGAGAAUGAAAGUAAGUCUCUUUGUGUAGAAGCUCAAAUAUCUCUAGGGAAAUGAAGUCCUUUGGAGCUAACAAUAAUUCCUUCUUGCAUAAUGAGUCUCCUUGUAAUGUGAUUUCACAGCCACUGAAUUGCCUCAAUUAUUUACUUCAAAGAAUUUAUGCAUGGGAACACUCUUCAGUGUAUAGUGUUUGUAUUAGGUUUCCCCCUAUGUUUCAUGAUUGGCCUUGACUCUUUGGAUGAUGUAGCUUGUUUUCCUUUAUGCAUGCGUCUUGUAUUUUUCUGGUAUUGUUACAUUUUUCUUUAUAUGUGCACCAAAAAGAGAAAAAAGAAAGGAAUGCAUUGUACGAUGCAUGGUAAUGAAAAAUGCAACAAACUAAGGUGCUACUGGAUUAAGUGUCUCCCAAUCAUCUUCCUCCAUUAAAUUUUUAAAAUUGAGUAAAUGCAAGUCCCAUACUUGUUCUGAAACCAUUCAUUAUGUGGCAUCCUUUGGAAGUCCAACUAAAUUGACCUUCGACAUGGUGAAAAUGAAAGGAUGCAUCUCAUUAAGCACAGGAUGAUAACUGGAGCUGGUUCCUCUAUUUGAACCUCUUUCAGCACUCUUAAAAAAACACGUCGUAGGCAGUCUUUGAGGACCACUCCAGAAAGAAAUUUGUGCACCAAGACUCACAGGUUUAGCCAUGCAAAACCCUUGUACUGGAAGCCUUAUUGACUUCUCCAUUGACUAUUUCAAAACCCCUGUACUGGAAGUCUUAUUGCUUACUAAUCAAAAAAAUUUCUCCAUUGAAUAUUUCACCAUUGAAUGCAAAGCAAGAAUUGCCAGAAACAAGCAAGUCCUGUCACAAUACUGAUGCCUUCCACAAUGCAGGAAUUUGUUUGGGAACUUCCACUCGGAUAAUUUGGGGACAUCUAGUCCAAGACCAUCAAAAUCCAUCUGGCAAAUGAUCUAAAAUCUCAAAUAGUCUUGGUCAGUAUUUAGGAACUCUAUUAUGGUAUGUUACAUCCGGAAAAUGAUCUAAAAUCUCAAACGGUCUUGGUCAGUGUUCAGGACUCAAUUAUGGUAUGUUACAGCAUUUUGGAACAUUUGUAUUCACUUGUUACAGGAUUCCAAAUUUGAAUCACAUCUUCAUGGAUGUUCAUCAAGUGAAUGAUCUAUUUGUUAAUCCACUCUUAUUUCAAAUUAAUCCUUCCUUUCUUUCUCUUUCUUGAUUUCCUCCAGUUUUUCCAAGUGUGGGGUGGUUGUGAAGGAAUGCCAUCUAAAUAAAUAUACAAGUAAUUUUUAUUGCAUUCAAAAAUGUAGAUGCUGGUUCAGCAACUCUAAAUAUCUCCACAUCCACUGCCUACUGAUUGUUAUCACUCCAUUUACUCUUAACUAUGUGAAGAAGGAUGAAAACAUAGAUAUGCUUUCAGUUGUUUCUUCUGGGUUGGCAGUUGACAAUCAACCACCAAGUCAAGUUUAGUAAGACCUGUCACAACUAGUGAGCACAAUAUUUUUCUACGGUUUCUUAAGCUUUGGAAAACCAAGUGUGCAAUUUUUAUUUAUUUAUUUGAUAGAUAAAUGAGUAAAUAUAUUAAAAGCACUUAAAAGGAGGUGCACCAACAUAAGCAGAACCAAGUAUUCAAUUUUCAACUUAAACAGGAUAUAUUCGUACUUAACAGGAUAUAUCCAGAGUCUCUUUUGAUUCAGGAAAGAUGUUCAGAAAUUUCAUAUUAGUCAAUAGAACUGUGGUGCUCUGUGCAAAACUGAUGCCCAUGCAAUUGAACUUUUAACAAUUUGUAAGAGACUACACUAUUAUAUAGAUUUUCUGGUUUUAUUAAGUUAGACAAUAGGCUGAUUUGAUAUAAUGAUAGGUUGAUCAUCUCCUUUUCAAUUAAAUUUUAGUGGUACAACAAUUUUUAGAAAUACAGGAUGGGGCAAUACUACUCUUAUCUGUAUUUUCCUGGUUAUGCUGCAGUUGCAACUUGAGGAUACAUACUUAUACAGUGAUCCAUUUGUGGGGCCUGUGCUAGAUAAUAUCAAGUUUGUGAACAAUGAUUGGGAAGCAAAGUACUUAGAUACAAGCUAGUUGAUGUAUAAUUCACAAACUUGUCAAUUUGUAGCUUGAGUGAUGAUUAGUCUGUAAUGGGUUUCUUUGAUGUGUAUAACUCUUAAGACACAAAAUUGCAACAACCUUACUCUAGUGUUGAAGAUAAUUGCUGUCAAUGAUAUUCUAGGUUGCAAAAUUAGGUCUAAUACUAAGCAACAUCCCCAUUAUUUUUUUUAAUAUGCAGAAUAGAUAUAAAUAUAAAAAUAUUAAUAAAAGCACGUAAUAACAUGCAAUCCAUGUACAUACAAUGUAUACAGUUUGCACAAAGGCAAAAGGAAAAAGAAUUGAAACAACCAACUUCCAUCACUAAGCUAACCAACUCCCAAGUGAUCUAAAAAAUCAGGAGUGAUUAGCAUUUUCCAUCUCUCCAUUUGAAUGCAAGAACAAAGUAUAGAAACAAGUUCUUCACAAUCAAAAUUGAUGGGUGCACUCAUCAGAGGUUCUAUUAUUGUGUUCUUCUAAAUAGACUGCGAAAACCAUGAUUUGACCUCCAAACCAUCUUUUUCUCUUGGUGCCUGUGAAUGCUCCAAGCCAGCAAGUAAUACAGCUCUAACUGAUUGGGGGAGAAUCCAAAACACUCGAAAGAAAGAGACCACCAAAGACCAUGUACAUUUACACAUGUGACACCAGUUUGGGAUGAACUUGCAUAAUUUUACCAACUUAGCAAUGUGCUAGACCACUGAGAUUAUGUCUACCACACAGCCACUUCCUGGUCCUGGAAAUUUUGUCUCAACCCAAGGUCCUGUUCCUAACCUCCUCUAUCAAUGUAAAAUAAUCUGUCACCCUGGUUUUCUUAUUCUCAGUUAUGCCAUACAGCUCAUGGAACCUAAGCUUCAAAAUCUGCUCCAUGCACCACAUGCUGCCAGAAUGGCUCUUUGCCCAUUCUCUGCAUCCAAAUGAAGUAUCCUCCUCAAAUCCUCCCACCUGCUUCUAGUACCUUUGUAAAAGCUGGACCCAUGACCUUGCUUCUCUUAACUUUUGCACCCUGCAUUGCAAAUAUAAACCCCAAACAUUAUUGGGCAUUGCAUCAUUUUAUGUGCAUCAUGCAAGUGUAUGGUAUAAAGAGAUGAUAUUUACUUUGCUCAUCCAGCAAGAACCAUGGCAAACAAUUGCUGUUAGAUAUCAAUUAAUGAUGCAUCUUAUGAUAAUAUGAUUCUUCUAUUUGAAAUUUUACUUGAUUACAUAGUUUAUGUUGUUGGGAGGAGAAAAUUACUCAUACUACUGAAAAUGGCUUAUCAUAGAUGGAAAUAUCAGCUUCAGUCCAACUGAAUACCUUCUUGUGUCCCAAAUUUUCUGCACUUCUAAUGAAUGUUUGAAGGUAUCAUGUUCCAUUGUUUUGAUCCCAAGUAGCCAAUCCAGGCUUGAUCAUGAAAGGACUCCAUAAGGAAGGGCCUUUAAUUUUUUAACUUGGUGCUGUAUUGAGAAAUCAAUUAAAUCUGUCUGGAAGGUUUCUCCUGUCAGUGGUUCUGAGGUUUGGCUCUUCUGUGGACUACAACAGUUCAAAUUUUAUUCCUGUUGGAGACUACUUUUAUUAGUUAUGCACUCUUUUUGGAAUUUUUGUGAAAUGUGCUAAAAGCUUUCAUCUGAAAGAAGCUUCUGGUUGAAUAAUAAAUUGUUUAAUAUCAUAUUCCAGUUAUUCAUCCUUGCUUUAUAAUUCCAUGGUAGAUUCUAAAUGAAAAAUUGUUCACCUUUUUUUUUGCCUUCUAUUCUAAAGUUUGAUAGGUACUUCUCAUUCUCAUUGAAAUUCCAUGGCAGCGAAAAAAGCUGUAUACAAAGACUACAUGAUGUUGAGACUUAAAAAUGUAAAGCUUUCACUUGUAUGUGUUGGUUUGACCAAUGAGGCUAUGUCCUUGUUAUGAAAUUUCAGAACUUGGUUAAUGAAGUUUUUUUAUCUUUAUCCUGCUGCAGCAGCAUGGUAUUAUGAAUUGAUUGGGUCAUAUUUAGUUUGUUGUGAAGAGUAAAGACUUGCAGAUUUUUUGCAAAAAUUUAUUAAGAUGACUCUUGUUAUAUCUUGUUUUUUCUUUUCUUCUGUUCUCUCCUUCCUCUCUUCUCACAUUUGAGUUGGUUGAGAUGCAUGCCUUAAAAACUUCUUUUGAUGCUUAGGAAAAUCUUUAGGGUUUUGUAUUUCUGUACUUCUUUCAAACUUUGAUUUGGAAUGACAAAGGUAAGAAAAAGAGUGAUACAAAUUUUGAGUGUUCUGAGAUGACUAUCUUCAGUUUUAAUCUCCAAUUAUCUUCUGAUGAUCCAAAUUGAUCUACUAUUUAAGAUGAGGGUUAAAGUUCUAGUUCAAUUACCAGCUAACCAUUAGUUAAAUGUUUAUCUUGGAAGAGGAAGACCUCUAAUUAAAAAAGGAAUCAAAAGAAAAGGUUACUGCUGUUACUUUGGGUUCCUUACAUCAGUUUGAUGUGACAGGAGACCCACAUCAGCAUCUGAUCUACUCCAUUGCCUUGUGUGUGGAUCUCUACUGACCAGCCUUGGAAAGUGGAAGUCUGGAAAGAUAGAAUAAUUCAACUGCAAUCAGGACCCUACUUCCUCCUCCUGAUCUUGUGCUCUUUAACAAAAGUUUGCCAUAUAAUCAGUAAGAUUUUUUUGUUAUGUGCACAAUUUGCCCAAGCUUUGAUGGAACUUUUUUACUUUAAAAGUUGAUGGAAUUUGUUUGUCAUUUUUUUUCCAAUGUCAAUUGAAGCACAUUUAUCAACUUAGUCACGUCCUUUUGAAUUCAGUCAUCUAUCUUUCCUCUACCGUGAUGUCAAAAGAAAUAUUUCUAUUUCUAUUUCCAUGUCUAGUCAAUUUUGUACGGAAAUUUCUGCUUCAAAGGGCAUUUUCAAGUAAACUGAAUACCAUGUCAUAUUCACAUUGUUUUUAAGUAAACUGAAAGAAUGUAUUUUUAAUUUGAUUGUUAAUCUUCUCAUAUUUUGAGAGGCAUACAUGCUGUUUCUUAAUCAUAGGAGACCUAUAUUAUGUUAGCCCUGGUCAAGGUAGCAAGCCAAUAUCUUGAGGAUGGUUCCUUCAUGAAAUGAGGAGGUAGUAACCUUUGUCAUGAUGACAUAGUGAGACUAUUGUUCCUGUCUGUCUCUCUCUGCCUUUCAGCUAGCAGUAUGAUUGCGCUAAAUUGUGAAGUUGGGAGUUGUCUGUUAACUGUUGAACAAUUCUUUCAUGAUGAGUAGAACUCUUGGAUUUGUGUCUGAUGGAUAUCAAAUUCGUCCUUUAAAACUCUUUCCUCAUAAUAUUGAUUUGUGCUGAAAAUUUUAUGCAUUGAUGAAUGGAUGGACAAGCCAAAUGGUUGCCCCUGCUUUUGCAAGUAGAGUUUUCCAUGCAAGAUGUAUUAUUUGGCAGAUUGAAGUUCUUUUUGGGGUUUGUUCUGAUAUUUCCUUUUAAUUGGUGUUUUAAGCUAAGCAGUAGUUUAUUCUUAUAUUUCCUUUUAAUUGGCGUUUAAGUUAAGUAGUGAUCAACAGUGAACUUCAACAGACAAGCUCCUCUCUUUUGCAUUUCUGCUGCCUUGCUAUUUAUUCCUUUCCAUUCUGUCCAUUUCUAUCAUCACAAAGCUCCAAUGAUUGGUUCAAUCCCACCUGACCCCCAUCCUCAAAAGAUGACUUUUUGAAAGUAAAGCUGAGGUUAUGAGAAAGCUCAUGAUGGUAUUUAAACUCAUUAGUUUUGCAAAUGUGGAUCAUCCAGUCCAUUUAGAGUGGUUGCUUCUAUUAUUUUUUUAAUAGGCAAUAGAAUUUAUAGAUACGAUAAAAAAGCAGUACACCAAAAUGUACAGGAUGUAUGCAACGGUUAAUGAACGGCAAUGCCAAAAAAGAGAACACAAAAACAACCCUCUCCCUCAACACAAUCCCAAGCAAUCUACAAAUUAAUCGAAGGCAUUGAGUCUUCUUUUUUGUACAACCUAACCCAUACUAAAAGGUUACUUAGGAAUAAACAUUUCAGCUUUUGAUCAGAUUGCUCCUGCUCUUUAAAUGUUCUUUAAUCUUUUCCCUCCGAAUCAUCCAAAAAUUGUAUAGCCUAGUGGGUCAUUACAUUCUUAUGUAAAGGAACCAUGCCAACUUAAAAGAGUCUCUCUGACCAUGGAAGGAAUGAUCCAAACCAUGCCAACUAAGGAGAAUAACAAUUUCCAUAAAUGAUUUGGUUGAGUAAAGGAGAAUGUGAUUACGCUUCAUUUCUAUGAGAGAACAUCUAUAUGCUAGUGGUCAUCCUCUCCUUUGAAGUUGAUCUAGCGUCAACACCUUUCUGCAACUAGCUUCCCAAGUAAAAACUCAUUUUAGAUGGGAUCCAUGAAUUUCAAAUUAGGCCUGUUGAGAAGGGAAUUGAACUCCUUGGCUCCAAAACAGAAUAGAGAGAUUUGACAGAGAAAACUCCACUCUUUUAAUCCAUCCAAACCACCUUAUCAUGUUCUUCCGUUUACCAAAUUGUCUUGCAAUUUUGAGAAAAAGUCUGCCGAAGAGUAAGCUUAUUCAAGUAAGGGAGGUGACUGAUAUUGAGGGGUGGGCUGCUGCUUUGGGUAGUAGGGUGGGGAUCCCCACAUUCUAUCUAGGCCUUCCGUUGGGAGCCUCUUUAAAUCUCCGGCUGUUUGGAAUGUGGUGGGAUUGCUUUAACAAGAGAUUGACCUCUUGGAAAAAAACAAUAUUUGUUGAAAGGGUGAGCCUUUGGGGAAAAAAAUCCUCAGGCAAUAAGCUUCAUCUUGUGAAGUGGGACAUAGUUUUUGAGGCUAAGAAUUUGGGUGGGCUUGAUUUAAGAGGGCUUGAAAUUCUCAAUGAUUCAUUCUUGGCAAAUGGUUGUGAAGGUUUUCUGCGGAGGACAGACAAUUGUAUAUGGAAGAGUAUUGAAGGUGGCACGUUUGGAGUGAGUGGUGAUGGAUGGUGCUCCAAAGGCAUUGGAAAGCCUUGUGGAGUAGAACUUUGGAAAGGCUAUAUAGGGAGAGGAUUGAGAGAGUUUUGGCUUAGGACUACCAUCUUUGUUGGUAGUGGUUUAAAACCAAGUUCUAACUAGAUAGGUAGUGAAAUGAGUCCUUGCUUAAGGAUUGUUUCCCCUCGUUUAGAAUUCCUCUAAUAUCAAUGCUAGAGUAGGGGAUCUUUGGUUGGAGGAGAAUGGACAUGGUCUCUGAAACCAUUGUUCUAAUAGGAGUUUUCAUGAUUGGGAGUUGAAAGUUCACAAAUUCUUUGAUUUCAUUCUUUGGUGUGAAGUGGAACAAAGAUCAGGAGCCUGUCUGUUCUUAUUGUUCUUUUGUGACAAGCUAAAGGGAUUUGGAAGUCCAGUUUUUUUGCUUCUCUCUUUUUUGAUCUCCUUAAACACUGCUGGUGUACUAGGAAUGUGCCCCCUUCAUGCUUGUGACAUUUAAUUAUUUUAUCUUAUUUACCAUAUAUAUUUCCUUCUUCUUUUAAUCCUCAACCCCUUCCCACCCAAAACAAAAUAGAGAUGACUUUUUGACGGUCAGACUGAGGCUUAGAAGGAAGGUCACUGUGGCAUUCAAGCUAAUGGGGCUAUUGUUUUGUUUUUGUUUUCCCUUUGUAUUUUUUUGUAUCCUUAAAGCUGUCAUCUGUUAUGUGAAAGAUGUCUCGAAGAUUAUCUCACCAAUGGACCAAAAUAAAUAUGAUGGUGCAUGAAGUCAUUCAUGGCCUUCUGCUUAUACAAGCAUUAUGUUGUUUGUUCUUUAUUUCUCUCUUUCUCCAUCCUGCAUACUCAUAACUAGUUCCUUUUCCUUGUGGGUUCAUAAUGAAGCUUAGCUUCUUUAGUUUUGUUCAUUUAUUUUGUUUCUUGAUUUAAUUGAUGAGUCAAAUCCAUAGGAAUUGUCCUUUUGUAAAAUGGUGUUGAACUUAUCUUGGUGAGAUUUUAAAUUACAGGAGAAGUCAUCAACAGCAUCACGUGAUGAAGACUACCUGCAACGACGGGAUGAACAACGGUCCACAAUAAGAGGAUCUCCAUUCUCUCAAAGGGACUCAAGAACACGUCAUGGUAGUCCUGACACAUUUUAUCCUGACAAGUCUAGUAUCAGUGAUAGAAAGGGAGAGCCUUGUGAGGUUUUAUGGAUAGGAUUUCCCUCCUUACUGAAGGUGGAUGAAACGAUUUUAAGGAAGGCCUUUUCACCAUUUGGUGAGAUUGAGAAGAUUACUUCAUUCCCAGGUCGUAGUUAUGCCUUUGUCCAAUUCAGGAGUGUGACGGCAGCUUGCAGGGCAAAAGAAACUCUUCAGGGGAAGUUAUUUGGCAAUCCCCGUGUGCAUAUUUGUUUUGCAAAGAGUGAACCUGGUCCAUCAAACGGUGGAAGGAAUACAAUGAAUGCCCCUCCAUCCCCACAUUUUCAGUCCAAUAGUCGCCCUGGAUCUUCUGAAAAUUUCCGGCAAGAGAGGAAUUUUGGGAACUUCCCUGGAGAUCCCAGUGUCAGAUCUCCUCGUUUCAUCUCAAAUUUGGAGACCGAAGAUUCUGAUGUCAUUGAUUUUGGUAGGAAGAGUACUUUAUGGACAGAUGGAAAUGGUACAUUUGAACAUAGGAGGUUCCGAGACAUGGGAUCUGAACUAGGAGCAUCAGCAGACGUAUAUGAGCAUCACAGUAGUCCUACAAGAGACAGGGUUGCUCACUUUCGUGAUUUUUCUCCCCAGAAAUUUCCUCGGAGAAGUCCCUUCUAUGAAGAUCCAUGGGACUUGCCAGAAGAUGCCUACCUAUUUCAUGGAGCAAAGAAACUAAAAACUGGCUCCUUCCCUCCUGAGAAAGAGCUUCCAGAGUAUCCUUUCUCUGUUGCAGAACAAGAGAAGCAUUUACUGCCAAGAAUAUUUUCUGACUAUCCCCAACCUGAGGCCAUUGAUAAAAACUAUGAGCCUGGAUCGUUUGGGUAUAAACAGAUGUCUGAUCACCCAAUGAAUCUGACCCGUCCUCAUGGGGAAAUGAGUGAACAGUGGAAAGCAUCCUAUGAUGGUUUUCAGGUAGGUUCUGGUUCUUUGUCUUCAAACCCUGUUGAUUGGAAAAGAUUAACUCCUGAAUCACAUCCAUCUUCUUUGAGUGGGGAGUGGAAAUGGGAAGGGACCAUAGCAAAGGGAGGAUCUUCCAUCUGUCGUGCUCGCUGCUUUCCUGUGGGAAAGGUCAUGGACAUCAUGUUGUAAGUAGCCUGUGCUUUACUUUGAGAUUCUUCUGGAGUAAUUUCCCUGCAAUUCCCACGGCCUCUCUUUCAGCUUGGACAUCUGCUAAUUAAUAAUUUCCAGUCAUGACUCCUUUCCUUUUGUCAUUAUUUUAGGUUUCUAGAUGUGAGUGAUCACAGUCUCCUUCAAGGGUGCAUUUUGGCAUCCUAUUUUGGAAAUGCAAUGCUUCAUAUUGUUAGCCCUCAAGGGUUCACAUUUUGUCUAAUAGAAUAAAUCAAUUAAAGCAACUCACUUCACCAGAACUUAACAUGUGAUUGAGAGACUUUUAGAGAGCACUUUCACGCUUAUUAAAACUACCUUAUCCAAAUUAUAGGGUCCCCUAUCUUCUUCCUUCACCUCCCUUCUGGACUUGCAUUUUGAAAAAUUACUAACACUCUUCAUAUGCUGCAGGCCUGAAUUUUUAGAUUGCACUGCAAGGACUGGUCUGGACAUGCUUGCAAAGCAUUACUAUCAAGCAGCUAGUGCUUGGGUGGUAUUCUUUGUCCCUGAAAGCGAUGCUGAUAUUGGAUACUAUAAUGAGUUCAUGAAUUAUCUAGGGGAGAAGCAGCGAGCUGCUGUGGCUAAAUUGGAUGAAAGAACCACGUUGUUUCUCGUACCCCCAUCAGAAUUCUCAGAGAAGGUUCUGAAAGUGCCAGGGAAAUUGAGCAUUUCUGGUGUUGUUUUAAGGUUAGAGAAUCCUGGUUCUAAUUUUGGUUCUCUUGAUCAGCCGCAGGCACCGAGUUUCAUGUCUUUUCAUGGGGAUACACAAUACCCAAAGCCAACAUCACCAUCGGGCCUGUUUCCUCCAAUGGCAUCUUUCCCAAAUUUUGGUAAAUCGGGAGUUAGCAAUGUGUCUUAUACAGGGAAUGUGCCCACUUCAGCUCCACCUACCUCAUUUUCAGGCUCUGCCCAUGCUGUUGGUGGUGCAUCCAAUUCCAUUAAUGAGAACAGUCCUGAAUAUCUGCUUCAUCAGCGGAACCCUUCACUGGGACCAAACUGGUCACCUCACCAUCUGCAGAAUUCAAUUUCGGGUACUAGAAAUGUACCUUUGCAAGCAACCAAUAGUGCUGUUGAUACCAUGGUUCAGGACUACCAGUCAAUUAUGCAAAAGGCUGUACAAGGAACAGGCUCAAGUCAUUAUCAAACUGGAAAUUCUGGCAUCCCAUUAUCUGGAAGCAGCAAAUUGCCUCUUCAAGAAAUCAAACCUUCAGUUUCAUUGCCUAUGCCUGUUUCCCUGCAACCAGAACAACUGGCACAGUUGGCAUCAUCUCUACUUGGGCAGCAGAGGCAAUCGGGAAGCAGUAUGUUGUCUGGGGGGGAAGAUUUUAGGCAGCCGAACACAAUGAAUCCACCUGAAAACCCAUUUCGGACAGCUCAGAAAUAUGCUCUACAGAAUCAUCAAGUGUCUACUGAGCUUUCAACAUCUCAGUUUGGUCAAGUGCAACAGCAGCAGCAGCAAACACCAAAUGUGCCUGUAAUGCCUCACACAAGUCAUAGGGAAGUUCAGACAGGGGUUCAGGGGAAUCAACCACUGCAAAGCACUGAGACACAAGAGGAAGUGGAGGCAGAUCCACAGAAACGCUUGCAAGCCACAUUGCAGCUUGCAGCAGCUCUUCUUCAGCAAAUCCAACAAGGGAAAGGGACUUGACCAGAAGCAUAAAACUAAAAUUUAGAGGUUUGCCAUCCAGGGGAGUUUUAGUCUACAAACAAGAUAGUGGACUUCGUCUGCACUAGAUAUCGAAAGGGAGAAAUGGCAGAUAAAACUUUUUGGUUUUCUUGAUUAGCUUUUGACUGGCUGUAUUUUGCUUUGUUCUGUUUAAUGAACACCCUGCUUAUCUUUAAUCUUAAUCAGCUCCAAUAUUGCUUCUAUUUUCAUUUUUGUCCAUACCAGUGGACUGUGAACCAACCAGCCCUGAUGGGCGCUUUAAUUUCGCCAUGACUGGAAACUUCCUUGGAACUGCAUCGCUUUGCUUCAGCCAGGGUGUCAAAUAUCUUUAGUCCUGUAGGGAUGAUAGCCCUCUCUGCAUGGUUUUUCGAUCAAUUAUGGAGGUAAUUGGGCAUUAAUUGUCAAGUUUACUGAUUGAAAGGAGAUGGGAUUGCUGCUGCCGUAUUAUAUGAAUUAUCAUCUUAAAGGCAUCGAGUAUAUUCAUAUCUUGCCUUCUCAGUCCAUCAGGGUGCCCAAUUGGUUAGUGCAAAAUGCCAUGAUGUAUGGUUGAGGCACAAGGUUCUAGGAUCAAUUCUUGCCUCUGAUUGAAUACCCUGGGGAUUACCUACUACUGGUUGUGGCUGGCGCGGCUGGUUGUGGUGAAAGGGCACAGAGGAUGUUAGCUGUUGACAUUUUUAUGGAGUCUGAGAAAAUGAAUAUCUUGCCAUGAAGUUCAGGAGUGGUGUGUGAUUUUAAGAACUGUUAUCUUAUUCUAUCUUCUUUCUUCCUCGUACCUAAAAAAUAUGCUGACCCCAGUGACCACUAGUCUUGGACGUGUGUUCCAAUGGUUAGUCCAUUUUUUUUCUUUAUGGGUAGUGAAAAAGGAAUGGGAAAAGGUUUGGAAGUAAAAUGCAGAAAUGAAAAUAUCUGGAAUUUUUCUUUUUGCUUUUAUGGUUAUUAGGCAGAGAACAUUACAAAAAAGAAGGAUGUUACAUACAUGUAAAUAUAGCACAGAAACAUGUACAAAAAGAACAGAAACUGAAACUUAUUUGGCACCAAUUGCCCUGAGCUAAAAGAAUAUGAUGAACAUUAUGAAACAGACUAGGCAGAUGAGGUUUAUCAUUGACCCGGGUACAUUCGAAGUACGACUAGACAUAGAAAUAGUUUGAUGGAUCCGUUGCAUUUGUUGUGUCCCUGCAAAGAAUGGAACGAGCCUCAAUUACGGAACGAGGGGGCUCAAUGUCUUUCUCUUGCAGUGCAUUUCCUUGCAAUCUCUGCAUCUGGGAAGCGAAAGUGUCGUCCAAAAUCUACAAAGCAAGAUGGAACAUUCCUCUGAUGAGUUGGUUAUCUUUCAUGACGAUGUUUCUACAUUUAUAGCUAAAAAAAAUCUGAUAAACAACACUAGAGGAAAAUGGAAGGUGUGUUUUUUUUUUUUAGUCUUUUUUUUGGUUGGGUAUUUGGGGAUUGAUGAUCUUUGUUGAUAAAAUAAGCAUUUGCCGGUGCAAACAGAAUGUAAGAAGAGAUGCAGACAUGAGUAAUCAAGAGACUUACCCCAAGAGCAUAGUAAGAUCCAUUAUACCAGACUCUGUUCUCUUUUCUCCCCUCCAAAAAGUUCAAUACAAUCUGGUAACACAGACAGCUUAAAUGCAUUAGAAUUUAGGAAGCUGAGGGAGAGAAUAAAGUAAAAUUAUGUCUAUGCUGUUUUGGUUCAAGGGUAAAAGAUUGGUUCAUAAUAAACUGAGGCAAAUAUUUGAUCUUUGGUAAUUGUUCUCUUUGGUUAAAAAAUGAAGAAACACAUGAAGAUCCAAAUUUUUUCAUCUCCUUUUCAUCCCUGACAUCUCCCAGAAAACAAAUAAAGCACACCAAAAAUUUAGUUGAAAAUUAUAUUUCUCUGUACCUGGCCCAUCCUGUCCCAGAACCCACGGCAUAUGGCAACAAAUAUUCGGCUUGUAAACACCUCAUGCAAGUUGGAUAUGGAAUCAAUCAGUUGUGAACUAAGCAUUUGCAUUCUUUCACGGACCUCAGCCUCUCCAUCUGCUUCAUUUGUUUCCUCCAGAAUCCUUUUAAGCCGGGUGCUUCGAUUUGCUUGCAUCUGAAAUAAUGGUCUAUCCCAAUUAGAUUUGUUUGCAUCUGGAAAUUAUACCUGCAAUAUCCCUGAGGCCAUGUGUAUCUAUCUCUAUGCCUAAAUUUAGUUUGUACUAGCAAAAUUGAGCGUUCAUCUUUUCUAUUCUACAUUUGCACUUGGUUUGGAUAUAUGCUUUCCUAGCAAAAUCUCAGGGGAAUGUUCUCUGGAUUGAUUCUUAUUGCUUUCACCAGUAUUCUAUGAUUCAUUUAUUUAUUUUUUCCAACCUGCAUUUCAUACUACUUCAUUGUGAUAAGAGUCUUUUAUCAACUAUUCAUGCGAGUCUCAGUGUGCAAUUCUUUUGACUAGUAAAUUAUGAACAUCUAAGGUAUGGCUUCCUCACAGCUUCUUUACCAAGUUUAACCAAGCAGUCAAAAUUUUGGCCUGCUGUACUACAGAAAAAACUCCUCUUCAGCUAAUCUUGUACACUAGUGAUCUAGAACUAUUAACCUAUUAGUAAGUGGGAAAAAUAAUGGAUGAUGGACUACUGGAACCAUCUUUUGCUUCUAUUUUAAAAUAGGGACUAAUACAAAGACAAUUGGAGUUUGGGCAGUGCUUACAUUGUUAACGAGCUUCCCCACUGUUGCUUGAAUGUAGUUUUUGUAUUUUGUUCUCAAUAGAACUGUAAUUGCAUUCAUUUGUUCCCCAAAGAGUGAUUUCCUGUCACCAAUGACAGGCAGAUAAGAUGCCCAAGACUUUAGGAUGUCCUCAAUCCUACAGUGUAGAACAUCAAGAAUUCUCUUGAUUGUGUUCAGAAAAGUUCCCAACUGUCAAAAGGAAGAAAGCAAAGGAGAAAUAGUCAGACAAACACAUACAUGCAUACACAUAUUCAAACUGUGCAGUACCAUAUGGACCAAAUUGUCUCUAAAAUGUGGUUUCCAGGAUUUGCUUUUCCUUUUUUUUUUUUUAUAAAUUCAAAUUUAUGAAUUUAUCACUCACAAGUUCUUAAAAUUGAUUUUCUAUGCUUUUUCCUAAAUUAAUAAAAAGGAAAUACUUAAACAGCUGCCUUUUCCCAUUCUAUUUUGCCAGAAAUUUCUUUUUCUUGAUUGAAGUUCCUCCAACCAGAUUCCACAUCUAUCAUUAAGAUGCUACUUGGGUUCUACUCCUAUUUCAGUUGGUUAGUCACACAGUUCUUUAAAACCAUGCUUUGAAAUAGUUCAUAUGAUGAGCACUCACUUGGUUAGGAACAGAAUAAAGUGCUGUAGAUUGUCUUCUUGUCAGCUUCUGUACGUGCAUAUUAAGCCUUUUUGGAAUGCUAUCUUUCAGAGGAGUUAAGAUGUCAUUGUACUGCUUCUCCAGUGCUUUUAUGAUUGCUCUUUCCACAUUUGCAACAGCCUUCCAAAAGAUGAACAAGGCAUUUUUGAAAGUGUUAGUAAAUGAGGCACAGUUCUACAAUACUCAUGUGGGAUUUAUAUAUUUGUGGAUCUGCAUAUAGAUGUAGGUAUAGAUGCAUGCAUGUCUGUGAUUAUAAGUAUGUACAUAUUUACACAACAGUGGUACAUGUAGAUGUGUGCAUACGAAGAGAGAAUCAACAAUCGUGACUGUUUUUAACAGUUUAGACCUUACAUUUUCCCAAACCAAUGAGUAGUGAGGCCAUCGAUUGAUCACCACCUCAUACUCAACAAGGGUGUCUUUGAUUUUCUCGUACAUUUCCUCAGCAAAUGGCGAGGUGGAAUGAUUUGUAGUCACUCCGGACCAUGGCACCUGCAAGAGGUAAUAUGUGAUAAAAAUAAAGAAGUUUAUGACAGAUUCAACUAUAGUGCAUGUUUGAGCCUUGAAUGGGAGCCUUGAAUGGGGAGUUGGUGAAGAGAGGGGAGAGGAAGGAAGGGAGAGGGAGGAAGGGAGAGAGGGAGGGGAGAGUGAGAAGUACUUUUUCUGCUUUGCAGAGCUCAAGCAAGUUUAGCUGCAUAUCCUGUAUCCACACCAUUAUGUAAUUAUGGAACAAAUUCUUUGAGUCAACACCACCCUGCACUGGCCUGAAGCAAAAAAACAUAUAAUGUCACAAAGAAGGCUUUUAGUUUUUAUAUAUUAUGAAAUUAGCUGCCUUCACAUUCUCAGUUGGCAACAUUUCUUUUUCUCCCAAUAGGAAGCUUCAUCCACAAACCUGAUAUUCCAGGACUCAAGAUUCCUUUCAAAAUCUGCAGUAGCUAUCAAAAGUUCAUUUACAUGAGGCAAGGGACUAGAUGGAGGCCAUGCAGCAAGGAAACCCGUAAGUCUGUUUGAUAAAUCAGUGCUGUACACAGCAGCUGUGAUGUUUGACAGAUCAAUUGAACUGAAAUAGGAAAAAAUGUGUCAGAAUGUAUGGAUAUAAACAUGAUAAGCCAAAGAACAUAGCAUUCCUCAUCCAAUGAUUCAAUUUUUAGUAUGAAACAUAGAUACAAAGGUUUUUGUUAUGAAACUUGAAUUAUUAAAAAGAAAAGGAAAAAGGAAAAAGAAAAAGAAAAAGUCAAACCGAUAGUUGUUUUCAUUGUUAAAAUUUUGUUCGGGAACUACAGACAAUUAUUAGAUCGAGGGACUGAACUUAGAAACUUAUAGAUCAUUGUGUGAGUCAAAUGUGAGUGUGGAUCUGCAUUGUUGAUAAAUAAAGUUUUCUGAUGAAUGAAAGUUGUGAACAUUGAGGAUGCAUCUGCAUUUUUAUUGGGAACUUCAAAACUUAUAGAUCAUUGUGUGAGUCAAAUGUGAGUCUGAAUCUGCAUUGUUGAUAAAUACCUAGGGAGUAUGUGCUGGUUGUGGAUCUUGAUGUCUGCCUGGAUUUCAUUGCCUAUGUUAACACAUAGAUUCUUCAUCUUUGAAUAUGCAGUGGAGAUGGUAAUGGGGUCCAUAAGAAAACCAUCAGAAUUGCUUGACAAAAACUCAUCAGUGUCCAACAUGUGUUUCCGGCACCUCUUUUUUGCUGCUGUCUGUAAGGAAAUGCUAUUUGGUUUAGAAUUUUAUUUUUCAUUGUAUAAUAUGCACGUCUAUUUAUGCAAUAAUACAUAAUCUAAUAAUGUUAAAUAUAUAUUACCUGGAAAUAGUUUCUCAGCAUUGUCUGUGCUUCUUGUGCGAGUAUAUCAUGCAAAAGAAUGAAUAUUUGCACAGCAGGAGCUAGGGCUGGGGCAGCAGACUCUGGUGUUGGAUCAAACAGUUCUGCUAGACCAGCUGGAGAGUUUUCAUCUAAUGAUUUGUAGUUCUCAAAAACAUUUGCCAAUAGACUUUCAACUUGUGUUUCACAGUCCAAUAAUAUACUUUUCUGCAAGAGAACAAUUUUUAUUUUUAUUUACAGGGGAAGAGAGGUAUGUAUAAGGUAAGAACACAAAAGUACACUAAAGUACACAUGAGCAGUCAAAUUGUUGAAGAAAGACCUCAAAAGAGAAGCCACAAAAAAUCAUCCUCACUUUCAAGGAGACCCCACCCAGUCCACAAAAUUAAACAAUGGCAUUGAGUUUUCUUUUAUGUACAUCCUAAUCCAAGUAAAAGAUUGUAAAGGAAUAAAAGUCUUUAACUUUUGUUCAAUCUUUUCUUUGAUUUCGUUCCUCCCAAAUUGUUCAAAAAAUGCAAAGAGGAUCAUUCAAAGGAGCCAUGCCAACUUAACAGAGUUUCUUUCACCUAAGUGGGGAUCACAUAAACUACAUUGAAUAAGGAGAACAAUAGAUGCCAUAGAGCCCUUAAAACUAUGAUAUGAUGUAAUAAUAAAUAGAUUUUAUUAAUAUUUAUAUUAUGACUCCGGUUUCACUUUUAUUAUUCCCUUUAUGCAUUAUAUUGAGCAUUUAAUGGUACAUGGUUUGGAUGCCUUAAGAGUUGCAUGAAAGAUUCAAGUCAUAGGUUCCUUGUAAGUUGAUGACUUGUUCAUAUCUAGUUCGUGGACUUAGACAAUCCAUCUAAGGCUAUGGUGUAAUACUUCCUAAUUGGAUGGAUGACUUGUUUUGGUCAUUCAGAUAGAGUUUCCAUGGAUACUGCACUAGUGUGUAUGGUUAAACAUUAUACAGAACUUACGAUAAGUCAUGACAUUGGCUAUUGGCUAGUCAUAAAUUCACCAAACUACUAUAUUGUAUGAGCUUCUAAGUCAUUAGUUCCCUGCAAGUUGAUGACUUGUUCAUAUCUGGUUCAUGGACUUAGGCAAUCUAUCUGAAGGUAUAGUGUAGUACCUCCUAAUUUGAGGAAUGAUUUGUCUUGAUUAUCUGGAUAGAGUUUCCAUGGUUAGUGCACUAGUGUGUAUAUUGGCUAUUGGAUAGUCAUGACUUCACCAAGCUACUAUGUUGCAUGAAAGCUCAACCUUGAGAGAAUGUUGAGCUGAUAUUGAGGACUUCAGUGGCUUUGACAUGCAAGUGAGACCUUAAGGUGACCAUAGAAUCCUUGUGUUAUACAAUGAAGUAGAAUAUAAUCAAUAGACUUUUCCUUAUACAAAGAAAAUAUUUGUUUACUAAUGUGGUUGUGGUCAUUCCCUUUUUUAGAGUUGAUCUGAUGCCAAAAUUCUUCCCUAACUAGCUUCCCAAGUAAAAAAAAAAACUCAUUUUGGAUGGGGAUCCAUGGAUUCCAAAUGAUAUCCAUUGGAGAGGGGAUUGGCCUCUUAGGUUCUUAAACUGAAUAGAGACUCCUUCCAAGUCACUUUUUCUUUCUCUUCCCUCCUAAUAGACUUCCCUAGCAAUCUAGAGAAAAGAAUCUCAAGAAUUUUCAAUUCUCAAUAGUUAAAGUGCCUAGAGAAGCAUAAAUUCUAAUGAACCCCCAUGCUCCUAAAUUCUUCUAUAAAUUUGCCAUCUAAUCCUUUUUAGAUAAAGCCAUCACAAAACAAGGAGGGGAAGGAAAUAUACAAGGGUUCCUUGCCAUAUCAUCUAUCCUUCAAAAACUUAACCCUCUUACCAUUACUUACUUCAAAGAAGGCUCAUGUAAAGAGAAUAUCCUACCCUUUCCAUAUAGCUUUUCAUACUUCAACACCGUAACCAUAUCUUACUUUAAAAAUAGUGUCAACCUGCUUCUUCCUUUUCAUACUUUUGCUCUAUAAUCUACUUCCAAAAAAUCCUCUUCAUAUACAAAUCUCCAAUUCCAUUUACCAANNNNNNNNNNNNNNNNNNNNNNNNNNNNNNNNNNNNNNNNNNNNNNNNNNNNNNNNNNNNNNNNNNNNNNNNNNNNNNNNNNNNNNNNNNNNNNNNNNNNAAGUCCCCACAUCCCUUUAGAAAAUUUUCUUUAAAUCUUCUCUAAUCUCAGUAUGACCUUUCUAGAGAUUAUAAAUAAGGACAUGUAAUAGAUUGGUAGGCUUGACAACAUAUUUAUAAGUCUCCCACUUUAGAAAUAUAGUCUUUUCCGUAUUAGUAGUUUUUUACAAAACCUUUUUUCCACAACAUCUCAUACUGCAAUUGAUCUAAAAAGGGAAAACCUAAGAAAGUAGAUAGAAUCUCUCUUACCUUACACAACUACAUUGCCAAAUCUUCUACGUUUGAAACCCCUUAUCCCUACCAAUUGAGAACACUUUUUUUUUUCUAGGUUUAUUUUAAUCUCUUAAAUUGCUUUAAACCACAUGAGCAACCAAUUUAAGUGAAUCAUUUGAUCUUGAGAUACCUCAUAGAAAACCAAAGUAUCGUGACCCAUUUUUACAAGAUAACAAAUUGAAAAUAUCUAAAACUAUUUCCACAAAGCAUUUACAAAAAAGAUGAAAUUUUUUUCCAAGGCAUUCAGUAAACCAAUUCCUUAAUGGAAAAAAAGAACGUUUUCAUAAGUUGAACAUGAUUUACCAUAGGUGCUAGUGUUGAAAGGGGGUUAAGGAUCAGGAUGGGGUGGUGGAGAGUUUUGGAGUUGACAAAAAUUGGAACAACUCGACAAAAAUUAUGAAAUAACAUAGGCUAAAACCUAGUUAGAACUUGGAAAACCCCCAAAAAAAUUACAAAAUUACAAAUGAAAACUUAGUUAUUGACAUCCACCAAGUGCAUUAUUUGCUUUAUCAAAAUCCAUACAACAACAAAUGGAAAAUGGAAAUGUGUAAGGAGUAAAGGAAAUAACAAAUUCCAAGAUUUGCAUGGUAACCCUUAAAGAAGAACCAUAGUGCACCAUUUAGAGAAUCACUAAUCAACAAAUGACUGGUAAGGUAAUCAAUUUUCUCAAGCCUAUGGUAAUUAAGUUAAUGCACUCUUUUAUUUGCCCAAACAACUUCCUUAGUGGAUUUUAAAUCAUAAAGAAUGCAAACAAUAUUAUCAUUCAAACCAAUUUGGAAAAAAUCAUACUUUAGGCAUUGUAUCACAAAUGUGUAUAUAAAUUGAGGUAAUUACAACCAGAAAAGAUGAUAUGUUGAGAAUUUUUUUUUUUCCAAUAAGGAACAAGAAUAACAUAAUAUAUAACAAAAAGAAUAGAUGAGAUAUCAUUAGAGUUAGAAGAAAAUAAAAAGCCAAAGUCACGGAAAAAAGAGCAUCAUUUUCUACAUCCCUAAAAUAUAUUUUAUGUCUCAUAUAUGCCUAAAGGCAUCCCACCAUCUUUUAUAAUUUUUAGGGGGAGUAAUGGUGCGCUCAACCAUCUUUAGUUCAUCAUUGACAUUAAACGAGCUUACUUAGAGUCAAAGUUCUUUCAUGUUUGGAGCCAAUUUAGAGGCACUAAUCUUGAAAUGCUCAUAGUCGUUACCAAAGGUUACAAAUGUGUGGUAGUGUCAUCUAGAAUGCUAAGUUUCCAUUUCUAUGAACAUUGUAAAGUUUGGUUGUCAAAGAGUUAUCUAGCAUACAUGUUCUUAGUUUAGAUGCCUAAGCUUGCAAUUCAACCAAAUCUUACAAAUCAUGUACUCAUGUUUGGCACAACAAAGGGGCAACACCAUGACCUAUGGUCUUUAGUGUGUGAAUCUUGUUGUAUGGAUUUAGUGAGUCUUGGAAUUUAACCACAAAUACUCUAAAUGUGCUAAUGACCAAAUGAUUGGGGAUUAAAAAAAGGAAGCUUUUAUGCCAUUUAUUAGAGCGACUUGCUUGGUGUUAUUGUAGUUGGUAAGCGCAAGGAAGUAAUUGAUAGCUAAAUUCCAUUCUAAAGUUCAACUAGGCAUAAGGAACUUGAUAUAUUAACACUCAGUUUGAAAAGCUAGUUUUUGAUCCCUUAAUGCUGUAAGGUUGGACUCCUUUGGUAUAAUUAGGAUACAAUGUAAGUUCUAUUCCCAAACAAUCACCAUAGAAGGAAAGCAAUUUUGUUAUAUGAUCUUUUACCUCUCUUGCUCAUGUUAAGACAAGGACAAUACUAAUAGAAAAUAUGUUCAUGGUAAAAAAAUAUCUCAUUUUAUCUCCUUGUUUGAUUAACUUUUAGCUUUUAUACUAUUUGUGCUUUCUUGAUAAUUUGCAGAGUGGCAAAUUUUGUGUCUUGCUAGAGCACGGUAUAUAUUGUGGGUCAAAUCCUACCAACUUAAGCAUUUAGAAAAAUUAGUUGUCCUACAUAGCAUCAAAACUCAAGUUAAUUGGAGGUCUUAGAUUCAGAUCCUCCCUCCAUCCAUUUAUCUACACCAUAUGAGGAUUUUAGGAAAAUUGGUUAGCCCUUAUCUUCUUGGGAACCAAAGCACUGUUGCAGAAAAAAUUUCAUUAACUGGAAAAUUCCAAAAAAUACUAAGAAAUCCACUAAAUGACCACAGCUGGUUAGCCCUUAUAUCACUUCUUGAGAACCAAAGCAAAGUUGGAGAAAAAACUUUCUAUAAAGGAAAAUUCUAAACAAUCAAUAAGAAAUCCACCAAAUGACCUCAAGUAGCAUGAUUGCUUCUCUUAAUCCUAUUUGAGCAUAGCUUAAAGUUAUUUCAGAAAAGAUAUUCAAUUCUCCAGAAGCAAAACCUCCUGAACUAGAGAGAAAUCAUGUAAAAAUAUUGGCCUUGUGCUUCAUCUAGAUGCUGUCAGGGCCUAGUUUGGCACCCAAAAGCACUUGAGUAAACAAAUACCUGAGAUGUCUUUGGUCUCCUAUGCAUAACAAAAUACAAAACUGACAACUAUGUUUAGGAAGGCUUGGUGAAGGCCCAUUACCAAUAGUCCUAACUACCCUAGUCUGGUCUUUCAAGGAAUUUGAUUUCAGAGUUGUCUAUAUCCAUUUGAUUGCAAGGAUUUAAUAUUCAUAGAAAAUCAUAGGCCCCCCAUUCCGAUGAUUAUGAAGAUAAAGGAUGUAAAGUGGCAUGUUUGGGAGUGGUUUUAGCACCUUGUUAGUAUAAUUGUUUUCACUCCCAUACUGUUUUCUGGUAAUGAUGAGGAGGACCGUUUAAGAGAAUUGUAAAGAUAAGGGAUGUGAAAUGGGUACUGAUAGGCUUACCUCUUGUCUAGUUAAACUUUUCUCACUCCUUGCCUUUAUAACGGGCACCAGCAAUUCAUGUACAAGUUCUAAGCAAUCUUUUGUAGGAGUGGCCACAUUCAUGACAUAUGAAAGAUAUCUACACAAAACACAAAGUGGUUGAAAUAAUGUAAGGGGACAUAAAGGAAUAUUACAAUAUCAUAAUGGCUUGAGGUAUACAUGUUAACUACCUCAGCUUAGUAUAUGAAUCUGAAACCCCAUAAUAGUCUGCAAAUUCAGUCAACAACCACUUCCAAGGUCCAUGUAACCACAAGUUUCGAGAAUGAAAAUGUUGUGCGCGCAUAGCGGCCUCCAGCAGCAAAUCAUAAGCAAGAGUUUCCACAACAGCUCCACUCUAUAAAAUGUUAAAAUAGAGAAAGAUUAAGAUCUCUUGAUGAACAUGCACAAAUGCACAAGAUAUACACAGAUAAAAACCUGAGCAGGAAUUAUUUCACAUUGGAUGCAUUAAUGAAGAGUUGGAGAUUAAAAAUGGAAACGUUUGUGUGUAUUGCACAUUACCAUGCACACCUUGCAAAAUCCAAUCAAAUUCUGGAUUGCUAAUGUUCCUGAAAUUUCUAUGAGAAUUCAAUAUCUACCAUACCCGAUGCAUAUAUGAAUCUGAUCCUUUCAAAGAUACACUUACCAGAACAACUUUAGACAUCUAUAUACAAUAAAAUGGUACAGUAAUGUUCCAGGAAUUUGCUACUGUAUGAGAAGUUGAUAUACAGAUUUUCUAAUCCAUAUAUUAAUGCAGUUCUAUCUCAAAUACUCUCAGCUGAACUACCCCUCAUAUAUUCAUAGAUAAUCAUAAAAUACUACAAGAAAACAAAUGCGAGUAUAUAUAAAACACCAGAGCAUAUUUUCAAACAAUUUUAAUAAAUAUGUGACUUGUAACUCCACAAAUCGAGUUGAAGACCUAGCUGCGCUGACUUAUCUGGUUGGGAUAUGUUUUCAGCAAAAACAGAAGAAAACAAACUUCAAAUAGUUGAGAUAUGAGGCUUUAUUGAGAUAAACUGAGUUCAAAGAAAUCAAACCUUUAUAUGGUUAGUCUCAUCAAAUGUAAUUGUACUACCAAUUGAAAGCUGCACUUUCCCAACACAUUCGUGAUCAUCAUGAAAAAUGGACCACCACCGAAUUCUCUCACUCUGCAUAGUUUUAACAAUCACAUCAAACAACAGAUAAGGUGGAAUGAAGGUCACAGUAAACUUACAGAAGAUUUGUUAUUAAAAGAGAUAGGAAGGAUACAUACAGGAUUAUCUGACAAGGAUGAAAUUGGAAUUGUACAUCGACCUUGGACAGAUUUUUUUGCAUCCUGGACUUCUAAUAGAAGAGCAUCUCCUUGACUCUCUGGGAAACUGAAAUAACAUACACAUUUAAGAUGUAGCUCACAGUCUGCCGCACAACAUCAUCUCUUGAAGUUGAAGAAUUUUACUCAAGUUGAAGGGGCUGAUCUGUGGUCUACUCUUGUAGACCACAUGGCAGAGUAAAGGAUAUCAUUGAACAGAGAUGGAGUACAUAUAUGUUAGAUGAAUCGCCAUUUUCUAGGCACAAUUAAGUCAUCCCUUCAAUCAAAUAACGACAUAAUUACAUGAUCUGAUGGUCCAAUCUAUAAUUCUUCUCUUAAAAAGAUCACCAUGGUUAAAAUUUUACUAUUAAUUAAUUCCUUUUUGUUACAAUUUGGACCCUGCACCCACUGCAGCAACCCCACCACAUAUAUAAUUAUUUUUACAAAUUUUUAAUCCUUCCAUUGUAUAAAAGCUUGGGGCAACCUAAUCACACUCUACCCGCCAAAUUGAAAAGUGAAUUAACAACUUACAAGACAUGGUAAUCGCCAGUUCCAGGGUGCAAGCAAAUAGCAGAACCUGGCUCCAUUUCAGCAUCUUCCGCAGAACUCUUAAGGUGGAAAAAACAUGAGAAUUGCUCUGCAAACAUGACAGGACAUUUUGUCAUACACUGAAGUGAUAUAGAGCAUUGAAAGUCUCUAAUCUGUGCUGGUCUAAUAAUUUUUAUAAGUAUAGAUACAAAUGAUGCACAUAAAGUGGGAACAACAACAUCAAAAGAAUCCUAACACCAAGAAAUUUAAGAAAAGAGCCACUUGUUAAAUUGUUACAAACUUCUAGGGAGGAUGAUCUUUAACUUGGAUAUCCUCCCAUAUAGUUGUGACAAAAUUGCACCAGAAAAUUCUCUGCACCACAAAAUUGCACCAUAUGUAUCUGAAACUAAACAGAUCCCAAAAAUUUUCUGAAGACGAACCUGAACCUUCUGAUGUCACUGAGGAUGAGGUUAGUAGAAGAGAAUUGAUGCCGGUUUUCAUAAGUGAUGAAACAUGUCGGACAUACUCUGCCCCCGCUUGCACAUAAAAUGCACCUCGCUGUGAAUAUGUACUCUUAAGUUUCCGCCUUGGUAUAAUUCGAAGUUUCCUCACUGCCAUAAUCCAACAGUUAUAUCACCAAAGUCAAAUCACAACUAUAAUUGGUGCCUUUCAAAUGAUAAACACAAAUAGGUCGGUGGCACUUCUGAGUAUGUGAAGAGAAGUAAGAACAAGCUCCACAUUAUGAUCAAGAUUGCUAACUAUUAUAUUUUAUAAAAUUUCAAUGCAAGCAACCGAAAAAUAAAUUACUAUUUUCAUAAUUAUCACAUGAUUGUGAAGGAAACUGAUAACUGGAUUUAAGGAAACAAAUUGAGAUUCAAAAUCAUAGUUGCUAUAUACUUAUUGGACUAAGACUAGCUCCAAGCCCUUCCUUCCAAAUAGCUGAAAGUAUCUUUGAAUGCACUAGUUAUAAGCUAAUCUCUAAAUGCAGUCUACUUACAACAUCAAGACCUUACCUUCCACUCUUAUCUUUCCAACUACCUUCUUUGCCUUCAAAGAACAUGUUUGUUCCACAUUCUUAGCUCCCCCUUCUAUUGGUUGUGUACCUCUGGGUUGCAAUAGGAAUUUCUGUAGUCUGUAAAAUCAGAAAAAUGACAAUUCCCAUUCAGACUCGAGAAUUUGUAUUAAAAUUGAAUAAGAAGCUCACAAGUUUCUAAUAGCAUGACUAAGAUUUUUAACUGUAUGAGCAGAAGGUAGCAUACCCGAAGGCCUUCCAAAGAACCAGGCACUCAUCACGUAGAAACUCUGGUGCCUCUGUGCAGCCCCUUGCCCAUGCAUGCAGGCAUAGGCGAAUACAUGCAUCAUAAGCUAUUAGAGUUUGCCAGGCAUUUUGUCCACUGCAAUAAUAAAUUUGUGAAUCCAAAAGUGGAGGCAAUAUUCAUAUUUCAGGUAGUGGCACAAAACUCAGCCAAAGUAAACCAACAACCAUCUGACCAUUCUCAAAUGGAGUUUGACAGAUAUCACACCUGGUGUUAUAAUAGGGCGAAUGAUCUAACGUGGCUUGAGGAAUCUGUGAUUCUGUCUCCCAAUGCAUGCUUUUAUUUGCCCUACAUGAAAGAAUGUUGAGAAAUCCCAGACUCUGUAAGGAAACAAAGAAAAGACAUUUUUUUUACACGAUGACAAAUGAGGCUACGAGUUAUAAUACCUUUCACCAAGUUCACUGUUUUUAGGAAAUUGUGUUCUUCCAUCUGAUAAACCUUCUUUUCUCCUGCAAAAAACAUCUGAUUCUUUGGGUCUGCACGCCCCAUUGCCACUUUGCUCAAUCUCUAAAGAAAAUCUGGAAGCUCUCUCCUCUUUACUUUCAACGCUAAACACCUUUCCUUCACUUGCUAUAUCCAUAAUUGGAGGUGCACUGGGAGUUCCCAAAUCGCCUAGAUCCUUGACCAUAUUGCCAUUAGCAGGAGUUCCCUGCAACUAUCAUCAAAAUGAAAGAAAAGAUUAUUAGGGAGAAAAAAAAGGGGGGGGAGGGGGACUUGGGAUCAACUACUCUGAUAUCUAGAAACUCUACAUCACAGUCCCAUGUCUCUCAAUUAUUUUAAAACUAAUAGCAACAACAAUUCCUACAUGAGCACUGCACAGCUGAACUUGUUCAUCGGUUUGACUGUAGCAAUGCGGGGCUGAAUUUGGCCGAACACCUUCCCUGGUACCCAAUUCCCCAUCAGUAAAUCUUUUGCAAUUUUCUGGUACUUCAAUUCUGAGAUUCUCCUUUGACACUCCUCUAUUUAUAGAAGAAACAUUACGGUGAUCUGAUCUGUUGAGUGCACUGGGGUUCAAGUUUCUCCUGGAUAAUGAAUGAAAUAUUUCUUCAUCAUAGAAAGGCGCAAAUGGCUUUUCCAAUUCCAAUUCUUCUUCUUCAGAUACCUCAGAGUAAUUCCCAUCUGUAUCAUCUGGAGCUGAAGCCACACUCUCCUCCUCCUCCUCCGUGUGGUCAUCAAGACCGAGAGUCACCGUACUAUGAGGUCCCAGAAAACCCGAACGGAAUUUCAGUGGAGGCAAAACAUGGGGAGACGCAUAACCGUUGGUAUUAUAGGAAAGAGGAGAUUUUGGAAAUGCAUCACAAGCAAGCUUUUCCGUCAAAGGAGAUCGAACAUGCUUUUCUUCCAGAUCCGAACCCUGCAGGUUUUUGUUGGGAUGAUUCGAGUUAUUGGGUCAAACAAAUAUAAUAAACUGCUUUCAAUGAAAUGAAACGGACCCCAAGAAAACUGGAAACUGAUAUAAACAGGGGAAAAAAAGAAGAAGAAAAGGGCGUCUUCUACAGGAGGAAAGAAACAAAACAGAGAAGCCCAUCAGAAGAAAAUCGGUGAACAAGCCAAAACUAGAAAAUAUAGCAAGAUGGGUAUUCAAAUGAACCAAAAAGGAAAAUGGGAAACAGAUCAAAGAAUUAAAAAACCCUGAAAGUUUAAGGGCUUUAGUACCUGCUUGAUCCAGUCUAUUGCGGUUUGAUCCAAACCUUCGGUGAACAUUUUUACAAAUCUUGAAGAAAGAACAAAGGUCACCGAAAUGAAUUCGUUCAAAGAGGAUCACCUUUCGUCGUUCUUUUCAGAUUCUUGCGAGCUGAUAGCAGGAGAGAGCGUUGCGGGGUACAGGGUAUACUUUUUUAAUCAUAACGGCUAGUUUGAAAAUUAUUUUCAAAAGGGCCUCUUUUUCAAUGUACUUCUCCAGCUUUCACAUAUAACCGGUUACACAUAUAUAUAUAUAUAACCGUAAUUUAUUUUUUUGAAAGAGGAAAGUUCAAAAAGAAAAUUUUUGGAGCAUAUUUGACAUACAAGAAUUCCUUUUUAGGUUAUUUGAUUCAAAACAUGAAAUCAUUCCUCGUAAAACUAAGAUUCUACUAUUAAUAUUCUUACUUUUUUUUUUAAUUGUAAAAUAAUAUUUUCUUUUAAAAGAUACUUGUAAAUAAUCGAAAUGUUGAAAAGUAUUUCCAUAAAAAAAAAAUGGGUUACUCCUCAAGUUCCAAAAAUAUAACGGUUAGUUUCACACAUUUUGAAUUUUUUUUGUUUCAUUUAAUUAAUUAAUCUUUAUUUUUAUAUAAAUAUUUUUAUAAAUUUUAAUCGAUUGACAUUAUAUUAUUAAGGGAUACUGUGCUGAAAGCGUAAAUAAUGUCAUUGAUACAAAUGUGUAAAUAAAGAAAGGUGAUAAAAUAUAAAAUGAUAAGGAUUGUUGAAAGAUAUCAAAGUUGGACAAUUAAGACUAUUUGUUAUUUGUUUUCAAAAAUAGUGAAACAUAAAUUCUAAGAAUAAUUUUUUAAAAUUGUUUUUUAAUAUUUUAUAGAACAAAAUUUUGUUAAGGAAUCUGAAAUAUUUUUAACCAAUUUUUAAUAUUUUUAAAUAUGUUUUAAAAAUACUUUUUAUAUUCAAUGUUUUAUUUUAAAUUAUGCUACAUAUUUAUAUAAUUAUUUUUUAAAACAAUUUUAAGAAAAUAAAUGAAAACAAAUAAAAUAAUUAAAAGAUAUUAUCUUAAAAUAGAUUAUUUUUGUUUUUAAGAAUAAAAAAUAAAAAAGAGCUUUUUAGAUGUCAAAUAUAAUUUUCUAUUUUUUUCUAAAUAACAAAAAACUAAUUAAAAAAAUAGUUUUCAAACAUUGUCUAAAAUUCUAAAUGUUCCCAUUGGGCUUGAGGACGAAAAUAUUUUCAUUGUAUAACAACAAAACCAACUCAAAAUUCAAAAUCAUAAACAUCAAUUGCAUACUCGAUUUUACCCUGCAUCAUUCCUCGGAUUCUAGACCACAUUCAUCCCAUUCUUAUAAUUCCAUCAUCAAUUCUUGAUUUCUAAAGGUACGUGGUCGGACAAUACUAAAUCAAUUUCUAAUCAUAACACACCAUUUAAAAAAACUGAAAAUUUUCAAUUUUUCGAAUUGAAAAACUAGAAGCCUGUUUGGUGGUAUGAUUAAAAAAGGGUUUUAUAUUUUAAAAAUUCAUGACAUCGUUUGGUUGGUAUUGCCUGUUUUCAAUUUUUAAAAUGAAGUAAAAUAGAAAAUAAUUUUUAGAGAAUAAGUAUAAGUUAUUUUCAUCAACUUUUAAAAAUAAAAAAAAUAUAAAAAAAUUUUAAAAUCAUAAAAAAUAAAUGAAAUUAAACAUGAUGUUAUUCUUCUUCUUUCUACGGUAUAAUGUCGAUAUAUGAUCUUUCUUUAAAUUAUAUAUAUUUUUUUAAAUUUCUUUUAACUUUUCUAAAAUAAUUUAUUAAGCAAAUAAAUUACAAAUCAAACUAUACUUGAUAAUUAAAAUUUAUUAAUUUUAAAAAUAAUUUAAAACUUAAAAACCAAUUUAAUUAGUAUUUGUGUAGAUCCCAACAUUUAUCAUAAAUUUAUUUUUUAUUAAUCUUAGAUUUCAAACCCGAAUUGUUUAUUUCUUUUUCUUUUCCCUUAAUUUCCUUUUCUUUUUUUAUUUAUUUUUUCCUCUCUCUUCUUUCUCUCCAUCCUACCCACUCCACCUACCCCCUUACCCACUUCCUUCUCCUACACGGCUAGCCCACCCUCCUGUCUCCCCCCCAACUUCUUUUCUUCAUUUUUUUUUUCAUUACUAUUUUUGGGCUCCCUGCUUCUUUAUCUUCUAAGCUAUCAUGUGACCCCCAAAAAAACAAAACCCAUGGGAGACGCCCACUGAAGGGUCAGCCAUCUUUCCUCAUCCCUUUCUCUUCUUCCUUCCUCUACACUGCCAUUUCCAAAGACUCUCACUGCCACGCGCUCCCAAUCUUCCUUCAUUUUAUUAUUAUUAUUAUUAUUAUUAUUUUAUGUUUUCUUUCCUUUUUCUCUCUUUCUUUUCUUUUCCACACCACUUCCCAUAUUUAGUAGUCUCCGUUGCCACUGUCAGUGGCAUGACCUCGGCACCGUUUUCGGCGCCCCUUCCAUCCCAUUUCUCCAUUUUUUUUCCUCCAAUUUUUAUUAUUACCUUCCUUUCUUUUUAUUUUAUUUUAUUUUUAUUUUUUAAAAAGCCAUCCACCCUCAUCGCCGUCGGCGAGAUCACCGACUAGUUGCCGCCGACAAGCCCCUACUGGUCGGCGACCCCUUCCUCUAUUCUCUCAUUCGAUCAUUUUCCCAUCACAUACAUUUUUCAUUAUUAUUAUUAUUAGGACUAUUUUUCUUGAUUUGAUUUUAAUAGUGAUUAUUGUUUGUGAGAUUUGAAUUAUUGAAUUAAUAUGAAAUUUAAGUUUUAUUAAUUAAUAUAAAAUUUAGGUUAAUUUAUUAUUGGAAAAUUAAUAUGAAAUUUGGGCUAAUUUAUUGUGGGUAAAUUAAUUUGAAAUUUGUUAAUUUGAAAUUUGUUAAUUUAAGCUAAAUUAGUUGAUAAUUUAUAUGAUUGUGUUCAUUUGAAUUAUUUAAUUUGGAUAUGAUAUAAUAUUGUAAUAUAUUUUGGAUGUAAGUUUGCAUAUUGGGUUGAUUUUGGUUGGGGAUUCAGAUUUGCAUAUUAAAUUGGGCUUGGAUUAUGAGAUAUUAAAUUUAGGCAUAAUGAGAUUUAUUUUAAUUUAUCAUGUUUUGGGUUUGAUUAAUUGAGCUUAUAUUUUGGCUAUUAAUUUGAAAAUUUUAUAUUAGGGCUUAUGAUAUGUGAGAUAUUUUUGUUGGGUUACAUUUGCUAAUUUGGGCCUAUUUUUAAUUGGUGAAAUUUAUUGAACUAAUUUGAAGUUUGGAUUUGGGCUCGAAUAUUUGUUUUGGACUUUGUAUAUUUUUGGAUAUUUAUAUUUAGACUAUUUUUGUUUUUGCAUGAACCCAUUUUGUAAUUUUGUUAGCUAAGUACAAAUUUAUGACACGUGGAGUAUGAAAUUUCAUGGAAGAAAGUGAGAAUAAAAAAGCUGUAAGAAGACAUUGAGCUUGUUGUAAGUUUAUUUAGGUACACUUUUUAUUUCUCACUACUAUUUGAUUUGAUUUUUAUUGGUUUUUGUAAUUAUUUGUUUGUAAUUAUUUAUUGAGUAUAUACAAAAUUGGAUAUCCAACAAACUAAAAAUUUUGUUUAAAUAAGAAGAAUAAUUCGAUAAAUAUGUGUGGACCCCGCAUUUUGGCACGAUGCGUUCCUACUCGAUGACGAAACUUGUUUUUUUAUUUAUUUGGUGAAAAUUUGAUUUUUUUUUUAAAAAACCUGGAGUCGUCACUUAUUUUUGUUUUAUUUUUAAAGGGUAAACAAAAUAAGAAAGAAAAACUCUAAGUGUGACUUCUUAUUUAGAAAAAGUGGUCUGUGAAAAACCAAGUUUGGGUUCAAGGGUCAAGUUACACAUUGGGAAGGUACGGUAAAGACCGUAGCACCUCUCUAAGCCCCUAAAAAUGGGUCUCUACUAAAUAAAGUCAAACAAGUGUGACAAUUGAUAAGGAAAUCAAUGGAUACCAAUGAAAUGAUCAAGUAAUAAAACGAAUCACACGUAAAAGUAAGCAAAGUGGGAGUAGAAGCGUACCUUGACAGCAAGUAAUAAUGCGCUAUCAUGAAAAUAGGGUUAGCUCAAGUAUAAAAUCAUCACAUGCAUAUCAAAGAGCAAGGCAAAGAUUAGACAAUACUCAUCAAGCAUAACAAUUGACAAUCAAAAGAGAAAACUCAUAUGUGGGGCCCCCACCAAAGCCCAAUAUAUCUUGCAUGAAUUAGUCUCACAAAUUCCAUUAUUCUGGAAUUAUGAAAAUUGUAUUCAUGCUUAUGUAAAAUCAAGAAAAACAGAAGAUUAUUUGAGAACCGGAGUGGAAUUAAAACUAUUUGAGAGAAAACUGGAUUUUUUGAAAUUUAUUUGAAAAUUAGAGUCUUAGGAAUUAAAUUUAAGAAUUGGAAUUUUGGAAAUUAAAUUUGAAAGAAAUUGGAAAUUUUAAAAUUAUUUGAGAAUUAGAGUUUUGAAAAUUAAAUUAAGGAAUGAGAACUUUGGAAAUUAAAUUUGAAAUAAAUUAGCAAAUUAUUUGAGAAUUGGAGUUUUGAACAUAAAGUAAUAAUGUGCUAUCAUGAAAAUAGGGUUAGCUCAAGUAUAAAAUCAUCACAUGCAUAUCAAAGAGCAAGACAAAGAUCAGACAAUAUUCAUCAAGUAUAACAAUUGACAAUCAAAAGAGAAAACUCAUAUGUGGGGCCCCCACCAAAGCCUAAUAUAUCUUGCAUGAAUUAGUCUCACAAAUUCCAUUAUUCUGGAAUUAUGAAAAUUGUAUUCAUGCUUAUGUAAAAUCAAGAAAAACAGAAGAUUAUUUGAGAACUUGAGUGGAAUUAAAACUAUUUGAAAGGAAACUGGAUUUUUUGAAAUUUAUUUGAAAAUUAGAGUCUUAGGAAUUAAAUUUAAGAAUUGGAAUUUUGGAAAUUAAAUUUGAAAGAAAUUGGAAAUUUUAAAAUUAUUUGAGAAUUAGAGUUUUGAAAAUUAAAUUAAGGAAUGAGAACUUUGGAAAUUAAAUUUGAAAUAUAUUAGCAAAUUAUUUGAGAAUUGGAGUUUUGAAAAGUGAAUUUAAGAAUUGGAAUUUUGGAAAUUAAAUUUGAAAGAAAUUAAAAAUUUUAAAAUUAUUUGAGAAUUAGAACUAUGGAAAUUAAAUUAUGAAAAUUGGAAUAUGGGAAAUUAUUUGAAGAUGGGGUUUUCUAAAAAUAAAAUAAAAUAAUAAUAAUAAUAAUAAUAAAUAAAUGUGAAAAUUGGAAUUUCGGGAAUUGGAAAUUGAAUUCGAAAAUUGGAAAAUUGGAAUUUUGGAAAUUAAGAAUUAAAUUUGGAAAUAGGAAUUUCGAAGAAUUAUUUAAAGAUGAAAUUUUAAAAAUAAAUAAAUAAAUAAAUAAAUAAAUAAAUAAAAUAAUAAUAAUGAUUAAAAAAAUAAAUGUGAAAAUUGAAAUUUAAAUUUAGAAAUCGAAAUUUUGAAGAAUUAUUUAAAGAUGAAAAUUUUAAAAAUAAAUAAAUAAAUAAAUAAAUAGAAUAAUAAUAAUAACGAAAAUAAUAAUGAUUAAAUAAAUAAAUGUGAAAAUUGGAAUUUUGGAAAUUAGGAAUCGAAUUUGGAAAUUGGAGAAUUGGAAUUUCAGAAAUUGAGAAUUAAAUUUGGAAAUCGGAGUUUUGAAGAAUGAUUUAAAGAUGAAAUUUUAAAAAUAAAUAAAUAAAUAAAUGGAAUAAUAAUAAUAACGAAAAUGAUAAUUAAAUAAAUGAACGGGAAUAUAGGAAUUUUUGAAAUUGGAAAUUAAAUUUGAAAUUGUGGAAUUUUGAAAUUUUGUUUAAAGAUGGAAUUUAAAAAUAAAUAAAUAAAUAGAAUAAUAAUAAUAACGAAAAUAAUAAUGACUAAAUAAGAAAUUAAAACUUUGAUGAAUUAUUUAAAGAUGAAAUUUAAAAAAAUAAAUAAAUAAUAACAAUAAUAAUAAUAACGAAAAUAAUAAUGAUUAAAUAAAUAAAUGUGAAAAUUGAAAUUUUGGAAAUUGGGAAUUAAAAUUUGGAAACCGGGAAUUUGAAAAAUUAUUUAAAGAUUGAAUUUUUAAAAAUUAAAUUUAAGGAUCGGAAUUUCGAAAAAAUAUUUGAAAAUGAGAAUUUGAAAAUAAAAUAAAAAAGGAAUUUUGAAGAAUUAUUUGGAAAAGGAACUUUUCGAAAAAUUAGAUUGGAAAGAAAUUGGAGUUUCUAAAAUUCAUUUGAAGUUAAAUUUGGAAUGUUGGGAUUUUUGGAAAAUUAAAUUUAAAAAUUUGAAUCUUGGAAAAUUAAAUUUAAAAUUAUAACCUUAGAAAAUUAUUUCGAUGAUUAAAUUAAAAAAAAAAAUGAAGUUUUCGGAAAAUUGAAUUUCAAGAAUUAAAGUUGUGUGGACUAAAUUUAGAAUCAAAUUUUAGAGGAUUUUUUUGGAAAAUGGUAUAUAUUUUUUAAUAAAUAAACAAAUAAAUAAAUGAAUAGAUAAAUAAAUUUAUAACUUUGGAAUCUUAGGGGAUUUUUAAGGGUUAUUUGAGAAUAUAAGGAAGAAGAGAAUAAAUAAAAUAAAUAGGGAAGUAAAACCUUUUAAUAUCAAGAGUUUUUUUUUUUUUUUUAAAGGAAAAGAUGGCCAUGUGGUUACUGCAAGUGCACUGGACUUUGAAAAUCUUAUGUAAUGGUUUAAACUGGGACGAGGGCUCAGGCUUCAUCAAUGUCUCACAAUUGUCAGUAGGUGGAGCAGAUGGGGGUGGAUUCAGGAGCAGAAAAAUCUGCAGGUUGUGAAGGGGGCUACUAUGCAGAGGAUUUAUUCUGAGAGCGAAGUUCAAAGAGGCGGUGUUGGAGGUAUGCGUGGUAGGGAUCUCUGGGUCAAACCAACUUGGAAUAACAUCUCUUCUUUGGAUAAGAGAGUUUCUGAGAGUAAUUAAUAACUUAAUGUCACCAGAAUGGGUUGCACUAGAGAAUGAUGGACGAAAGAAGCAUAAUAUGAAAAUGAUAAGGGCAUAAGAAUCUUUCAGAGUUAGAGCUGACUUCGACAUUCUGCACCACUUUCUACAAGAAGUGGAAGCUUUUCAAUUCAAGAGACGUUUCCCUCUAGGACUCCAGGAAAUUUUUUGAAAUUAGAGACCCAAUAAAAGCUUCACUCCAAACAGCAACAAUUCUCUUGUGCUUUCUCGGCAGCCAAACGACGUCUUAGUGGAGAAAAUACCCGAGAAAAGUCGAGAAACCAAAACACUAAAAAAUGACCAGGAAAUAAAGCAGCUGUAUAGACCCCCUUGUUUGCUGGAGAGGGAGGAGAAAAAUAUUAUUUUUUUAUUAGGGGAGUGGGUGAGAUUGGAAGUGAUGGAGAGGACGGGAAGCAGCGGGAGAUUUGAGGGGGAAAAAUCUGGGAAAGAUGAGAAGAGAGAGAGGAACGGCUAAAAAAGGGGGGAGCAAGAAAGGGCAGAGGACGGCUAAAAAAAAAAGGGAGAUAUUUCAAAAAAAUCGGGGAAGGGGGAAAAGGAGGGGUAGCAGGUCCAUGACUUGCGGGAAGGAGCGGAAAGGAGAUCUCCAGCGAGGGGAAAGACACCACAAGGGAAAGGAAGAAGAAAAAGCUAUCGGCACCCGGCUUUUGAAUGGACCCUCCUCAUGAACACCCUCGUUUUUUUUACUCUACCAUUUUCACCUUCUCUCCGUUCCUCUGCACCACAUCCACAAACUGACCCACAUCCUCCCAGACGGUAAUAGCUCUGCACUCGGAUUCAAGCAUCGCUUCCCCUAAUUUCAACGAGGUUUUUCGUGUUUUUUUGAUCGAUUAAAAAAAAAAACCCCACCAAAGGAUUGGUGGCUCUUGCUUUGGUUUCCCACAUUUUCCGCCACUGGUACUCUUCUCUGUCUUUUAUUUUUAUUUUUAUCAUGCAUGCUUUAAUUUUAUUUCUAGUGUUAAUCUGAUCCGAGUUCAUGAAAUCUGUGGUACCCGUUUGAGUUUGUGUUUGGAAGCCGCUCCAUGGGUGGUGGUGUAAGCGGGGUUGCAGGUGGUAGUUUCCCACUUUAUGGUUCUUUUUGGGUACAGUGCACCUGACUAGGUAUGGUCAUGCUAGUAAAUGUAUGGGAUAUGGUGGUUAUGGUGGUAAAAGGUAUGAGAAAUGGGUUGUGUGGCCUUUUCUAUCCAUUGGUUUUUUUUUUCAUUUGUUUAUUCCUCAUGUUGUGUACACGUUUUCAUGUUUUAAUAAUUUAGUGUCUUUCUUAAAUAACUUGGAACUUCCUAAUAGUCAUACUCUCACUCCCAAUCUCAUAUAAUUUCCUAAAAAUUUCCAAUUCCAAAAUCUAAUUCUUUAAAAAAUCUCAUUCACCAAAUAUUUGUUUAAGUUGCAAUUCUCAAGUUCAUUUUUUCUAAAUUCUACUUUUAAGCAAUUCUUUAAAAUUCCGAUUUUUAAAUUUAAUUCCAAUUUCCGAAAUUCCAAUUUUUAUAUCAAUUUAUUUAAUCAUUAUCACUUUAUUCAUUUAUUCACUUGUUUAUUUAUUAAAAUUCAAUCUUUAAAUAACUCUUCAAAAUUUCGAUUCCUAAAUUUAAAUUCCAAUUUUCGAAAUUCUAAUUUUCACAUCAAUUUAUUUAGUCAUCAUUAUUUUAUUUCUUUGUUUUAAAAUUCCACCUUUAAACAAUUAUUCAAAAUUUUGAUUUUCAAAUUUUAUUUCCAAAAUUCCAAUUCUUAAAUUUAAUUCCCAAUACUCCAAUUAUCAGAUAAUCUUCGGGACUUUAAUUUUCAAAUAAAUUUCAAAAAUCCAGUUUUCACUCGAACAGUUUUAAUUCCACUUUGGUUUUCAAAUAAUCUUAUUUUUCUCUUAAUUUUAUAUAAGCAUGAAUGUCAUUUUCAUAAUUUCAGAAUAAUGGAAUUUGUGAGAUUAAUUCAUGCAAGAUCAAUCGGGCUUUGGUGGGGGCCCCACAUACGUGAUUUUAUGAUUGAUUUGUUUGUCACGCGCGAUUGAUUUAUUCCACUCUAUGACAUGCAUGUGAUUAUUCUGUGUUUAAUUGCUAACAUUCGCUUUCAUUGAAGUAAACCGGUUCAUCACUCAGGUACAUUCUUUGUCUCUCCUAUUCAUUCAGUUAUUUUUGUUUUGAGUGAUAUUCAUUUGGUAUCCAUGCUCGAAAUUAUUUCUUAAUUGUGCAUUAACCUCACUUUUUGAUAAGCUUAUUGUGGCUCGUCGCCCAGGUACAUAUCUAUUUCCAUUCUGGUAUUUCUAUAUGCAUGCUUUGAUUCUCAUAUGUGCAUGAUAGUUCCGGGUAUUCAUUGAUUUCCUCAUCAAUUGCCAUGUCAGCUUCAUUUUAUUAGUAGAGACCCGACUUUAGGGACUUAGAGGGGUGCUACGGUUUUUACCGUACCUUCCUGAUAAGUAAUCUGACCCCCGAACUCGAUCCGGUUUUUCACAGACCACCUUUUCCAAAGUAAGGAGUCACACUUAGGGUUUUUCUUUCUUAUUUUGUUUACCCUUUAAAAAUAAAACAAAAAUAAGUGGCGACUCCAAGUCAUUUUAUAAUCAAUAAAAUCAAAUUUUCAAAUAAAAAUCGAGCUCGCCAUCGAGUGGGAAACGCAUUGAGCCGAAAUGCGGGGUCCACAA